UACAGAGGGUGCAAGCGUUAAUCGGGAUUACUGGGCGUAAAGCGUGCGCAGACGGUUAUCUAAGUCGAGUGUGAAAGCCCCGGGCUCAACCUGGGAAUUGCAUUCGAAACUGAAUAGCUAGGGUGCGGAAGAGGGAAGUGGAAUUUCCGGUGUAGCGGUGAAAUGCGUAGAUAUCGGAAGGAACAUCAGUGGCGAAAGCGCCUUCCUGGUCCAGCACCGACGUUCAGGCACGAAAGCGUGGGGAGCAAACAGG
rnacentral:rRNA from 1 species